UCGCGGCCUUCGAAGUUCAGCGUUGUGGUCGAGUUGAUUGCCUCUCUGCCUCAUAGAUUAAACUCUGCAAAACUCCACGAACAUCGCGCCUCUAGCUCAUUGAUCAAUUCCACGGACUCUGCAUCGAAGUUCAGUUUGCCUCUGAGUUGAUUGCCGGCUGAAUUGUUGCAGGUUUUUUCAUCGAGCCGAGGCUUCAAUUUUUCAGCCCCAAAACCUCCUCCGGCCUUCUUGUACUGAAAAUUCCUGCUUCUGCACCCGACUCUUGCAACCAAGGGAAUGAAGAUAUAAAUUGAGUGAACUGUUGUUGCUUCAGAUGCUACUGAAUGUGAAUUGAUUCAACAAAAAAUGUCAUUUUUCCGAGUUUUUGGAAGAACCCAAGCGCUUCAUUCUUUUAAUACAACUCUUCAGCUUCACUCUUCAACAUCCAGAAACUAUCUUCAAAUUAUUGCGCCAAGAUAUAGCCUUUUUAGUGUUGGAAACAAUGGGCGCUGGAAAGUUUCGAGUUUUGGAUGUGGGAGCCUGAUGCCAAGGUGUGAAUUCAGAUCAGUAGUUGAUAGCAACAAUCUGUUCUCCAAUUUGGGAAGGCAUAGUAUAGCAAGGUCUUGUUCAAUGUUGAACUUUCAGCACCAGUAUGCAACUAAAGCAGCUUCCACAGAGAAGAAAUCUAAGAAGAUGCUCCUUUACUUAACGGGAUUGGUUUUUGCGAUGGUAGGAUGUAGUUAUGCUGCAGUUCCUCUGUACAGGAGAUUCUGUCAAGCUACGGGCUAUGGGGGUACAGUUCAACGCAAGGAGAGCGUGGAAGAAAAGAUUGCUCGCCACUCCAAAGAUGGAACAGUUAGUACCAGGGAGAUAGUUGUACAAUUCAAUGCUGACGUGGCUGAUGGAAUGCCUUGGAAGUUCAUUCCUACACAGCGAGAGGUAAGAGUGAAGCCAGGAGAGAGUGCCCUUGCCUUCUACACUGCCGAAAAUCGAAGUUCAACUCCAAUUACUGGUGUAUCUACAUAUAAUGUCACUCCUAUGAAGGCUGCUGUGUAUUUCAAUAAAAUACAGUGCUUUUGCUUUGAGGAACAGCGUCUACUUCCCGGGGAGCAAAUUGACAUGCCUGUAUUCUUUUACAUUGACCCCGAGUUCGAAACAGACCCAAAGAUGGAUGGUAUCAACAACAUUAUCCUCUCGUAUACAUUCUUCAAAGUAUCUGAUGAAUAGUGAUUCUACUCGUGUCAGUAACCAGUAUCAUUGAUUGACACUCCCAUGCAUGACAUGACCUUCAAUAGAGGCACUAACUUGCAGAGAAAAAGCCGAUUGCUGAACUAUCACGGGUAUGCUCUUCUCUCGCCCCUCUCCUCUCCUGCAACUCAUCCUCUCUUCGUCUCCUAAGGAAUUUUUCCAGAAAGAGAUUAUCGCCUUCUGCUAGGUAAUUCUUCUGUUCUUCAAAAGUGGCAGUAAUUCUUGAUUUUUACCCAUAAUGUUUAGACACUGUGUUUAAACAUGUGACAAAGAUGCCAAAGGAAAGAGCCAACUGUUGGCCAUGUAUUUCAGUGACCCCAAACAACGUUUCUUGUACUAUGGGAAUCAUGAAACCGCCAUUAAUGUGAAGGGUUGUGUGCACUGUGUUUGUCAGUCUA